rnacentral:pre_miRNA from 1 species
AACUGACAAGUUGCAGUUUUUGUACUUCACAAGAGUACUGGCGGUUCAGGUCCGGCUCAGAACUUUUGUGGGGUGCAAGAACAGCAAAACUGUCAUACUUU